UACAGAAAAAUGCAAACCGGAAGUCUAAUAUGACUUAAAAUUUCGCCCAAUGACGGAAACAAUAUCCGGAUGCCUUUUUUCUCGUUUUUCUCCCAAAAUAACUUAAUCUGAAUAAUCAUAUAAAUGGAUGACAAAUGCGACUAUACACUGUACAUAUAGGACACAAAGGCAUGAUGAUUAAUUUAUUGUGGAAAGAAGAGAAGCGACACACAAAAUGAGGUCUUCUCGUU
rnacentral:lncRNA from 1 species